rnacentral:rRNA from 1 species
GUGGUGUGACUGCGUACCUUUUGUAUAAUGGGUCAGCGACUUAUAUUCUGUAGCAAGGUUAACCGUAUAGGGGAGCCGAAGGGAAACCGAGUCUUAACUGGGCGUUAAGUUGCAGGGUAUAGACCCGAAACCCGGUGAUCUAGCCAUGGGCAGGUUGAAGGUUGGGUAACACUAACUGGAGGACCGAACCGACUAAUGUUGAAAAAUUAGCGGAUGACUUGUGGCUGGGGGUGAAAGGCCAAUCAAACCGGGAGAUAGCUGGUUCUCCCCGAAAGCUAUUUAGGUAGCGCCUCGUGAACUCAUCUUCGGGGGUAGAGCACUGUUUCGGCUAGGGGGCCAUCCCGGCUUACCAACCCGAUGCAAACUACGAAUACCGAAGAAUGUUAUCACGGGAGACACACGGCGGGUGCUAACGUCCGUCGUGAAGAGGGAAACAACCCAGACCGCCAGCUAAGGUCCCAAAGUCAUGGUUAAGUGGGAAACGAUGUGGGAAGGCACAGACAGCCAGGAUGUUGGCUUAGAAGCAGCCAUCAUUUAAAGAAAGCGUAAUAGCUCACUGGUCGAGUCGGCCUGCGCGGAAGAUGUAACGGGGCUAAACCAUGCACCGAAGCUGCGGCAGCGACGCUUAUGCGUUGUUGGGUAGGGGAGCGUUCUGUAAGCCGUUGAAGGUGUGCUGUGAGGCAUGCUGGAGGUAUCAGAAGUGCGAAUGCUGACAUAAGUAACGAUAAAGCGGGUGAAAAGCCCGCUCGCCGGAAGACCAAGGGUUCCUGUCCAACGUUAAUCGGGGCAGGGUGAGUCGACCCCUAAGGCGAGGCCGAAAGGCGUAGUCGAUGGGAAACAGGUUAAUAUUCCUGUACUUGGUGUUACUGCGAAGGGGGGACGGAGAAGGCUAUGUUAGCCGGGCGACGGUUGUCCCGGUUUAAGCAUGUAGGCGGAGGUUCCAGGUAAAUCCGGUACCUUAUUAACGCUGAGGUGUGAUGACGAGGCACUACGGUGCUGAAGUAACAAAUGCCCUGCUUCCAGGAAAAGCCUCUAAGCAUCAGGUAACACGAAAUCGUACCCCAAACCGACACAGGUGGUCAGGUAGAGAAUACCAAGGCGCUUGAGAGAACUCGGGUGAAGGAACUAGGCAAAAUGGUGCCGUAACUUCGGGAGAAGGCACGCUGAUAUGUAGGUGAAGCCCCUGCGGGUGGAGCUGAAAUCAGUCGAAGAUACCAGCUGGCUGCAACUGUUUAUUAAAAACACAGCACUGUGCAAACACGAAAGUGGACGUAUACGGUGUGACGCCUGCCCGGUGCCGGAAGGUUAAUUGAUGGGGUUAGCGGUAACGCGAAGCUCUUGAUCGAAGCCCCGGUAAACGGCGGCCGUAACUAUAACGGUCCUAAGGUAGCGAAAUUCCUUGUCGGGUAAGUUCCGACCUGCACGAAUGGCGUAAUGAUGGCCAGGCUGUCUCCACCCGAGACUCAGUGAAAUUGAACUCGCUGUGAAGAUGCAGUGUACCCGCGGCAAGACGGAAAGACCCCGUGAACCUUUACUAUAGCUUGACACUGAACACUGGUCCUUGAUGUGUAGGAUAGGUGGGAGGCUUUGAAGCGUGGACGCCAGUCUGCGUGGAGCCGACCUUGAAAUACCACCCUUUAAUGGCUGGUGUUCUAACGUAGACCCGUAAUCCGGGUUGCGGACAGUGUCUGGUGGGUAGUUUGACUGGGGCGGUCUCCUCCCAAAGAGUAACGGAGGAGCACGAAGGUUAGCUAAUCCUGGUCGGACAUCAGGAGGUUAGUGCAAUGGCAUAAGCUAGCUUGACUGCGAGAGUGACGGCUCGAGCAGGUGCGAAAGCAGGUCAUAGUGAUCCGGUGGUUCUGAAUGGAAGGGCCAUCGCUCAACGGAUAAAAGGUACUCCGGGGAUAACAGGCUGAUACCGCCCAAGAGUUCAUAUCGACGGCGGUGUUUGGCACCUCGAUGUCGGCUCAUCACAUCCUGGGGCUGAAGUAGGUCCCAAGGGUAUGGCUGUUCGCCAUUUAAAGUGGUACGCGAGCUGGGUUUAGAACGUCGUGAGACAGUUCGGUCCCUAUCUGCCGUGGGCGCUGGAGAAUUGAGGGGGGCUGCUCCUAGUACGAGAGGACCGGAGUGGACGCAUCACUGGUGUUCGGGUUGUCAUGCCAAUGGCACUGCCCGGUAGCUAAAUGCGGAAAAGAUAAGUGCUGAAAGCAUCUAAGCACGAAACUUGCCCCGAGAUGAGUUCUCCCUGACCCUUUAAGGGUCCUGAAGGAACGUUGAAGACUACGACGUUGAUAGGUCGGGUGUGUAAGCGCAGCGAUGCGUUGAGCUAACCGAUACUAAUGAACCGUGAGGCUUAACCUU